AACGAACGUUAGCGGUGUGGAUUAGGCAUGCAAGUCGUGCGCGAAAGCCUUCGGGCGAGUAAAGCGGCGAAAGGGUGAGUAACACGUAACCAACCUACCCCCAGACUGGAAUAACCCUCGGAAACGAGGGGUAAUGCCAGAUGGUCCUCGGUGUGGCAUCACACCGAAGGUAAACGGCUUCGGCUGCUGAGGGAGGGGGUUGCGGGCUAUCAGCUUGUUGGUGAGGUAACGGCUCACCAAGGCUAUGACGGCUAGCGGGUCUGAGAGGACGAUCCGUCACACUGGGACUGAGACACUGCCCAGACUCCUACGGGAGGCUGCAGUCGAGAAUCUUCCGCAAUGGGCGAAAGCCUGACGGAGCGACACCGCGUGUAGGAUGAAGGCCUUCGGGUUGUAAACUACUGUCACGCUAUAGGAAAACCGGUUUACCGGUCUGACCAAAGCGAGAGGAAGCACCGGCUAACUCUGUGCCAGCAGCCGCGGUGAGACAGAGGGUGCAAACGUUGUUCGGAAUUACUGGGCAUAAAGAGCACGUAGGCGGCCAUUCAAGUCACGCGUGAAAUCCCCCGGCUCAACCGGGGAACUGCGUGUGAUACUG
rnacentral:rRNA from 1 species